UUCGCGGCAGAAAUAGGCAAA
rnacentral:miRNA from 1 species